rnacentral:rRNA from 1 species
UACGUAGGGUGCGAGCGUUGUCCGGAAUUAUUGGGCGUAAAGGGCUCGUAGGCGGUUUGUUGCGUCUGGAGUGAAAACCUCGGGCUUAACUCCGAAACUGCAUUCGAUACUGCGAUGCUUGAGGACUGGAGAGGAGACUGGAAUUCAUGGUGUAGCAGUGAAAUGCGUAGAGAUCAGGAGGAACACCAGUGGCGAAGGCGGGUCUCUGGACAGUUCCUGACGCUGAGGCACGAAGGCCAGGGGAGCAAACGGG